rnacentral:lncRNA from 1 species
CGUACAGUAGCAGUUGAGGAACGAGGAGACGCACAUAAGCUGACAUCGACAAAACCAGGCCUUAUCCACACCCGAGAAGUGUCCUGCUUUUGUGAUUUUGCCUGUGGAUGCUUCAGUCCAAAAUAAUUUGACUUCCGAGUCAAUGUGGAGUCGGAAAAAGAGAAUGCUGAGCAAGUUUUGGAAGUGGGAAAGUGGGUCCUCGUACAAUAUGACGGAGAACUGUUCCCUGACACCAUCACACAGAUUGGUAAUUGUCAAUACGAGGCCGACACUAUGAGUUGUGCUGGAGUGAACACAUUUUUCAUUCCAUCCAUCAGAUUUGAGGGAGAAAAAGUCUG